rnacentral:rRNA from 1 species
CACGUAGGGUGCGAGCGUUGUCCGGAAUUAUUGGGCGUAAAGAGCUCGUAGGCGGUGUGUCGCGUCGGCCGUGAAAACUUGGGGCUUAACUCUGAGCGUGCGGUCGAUACGGGCAUCACUUGAGUUCGGCAGGGGAGACUGGAAUUCCUGGUGUAGCGGUGAAAUGCGCAGAUAUCAGGAGGAACACCGGUGGCGAAGGCGGGUCCCUGGGCCGAUACUGACGCUGAGGAGCGAAAGCAUGGGGAGCGAACAGG